CCGUUGUACACACCGCCCGUCACACCAUGGGAGUUGGCUUUACCCGAAGGUGGUGCGCUAACCCGCAAGGGAGGCAGCCAACCACGGUAGGGUCAGCGACUGGGGUG
rnacentral:rRNA from 1 species